UGCUGGGGGUGGGUGGCAUGGGAAGCACAUCCUGCCUGGGGCCCGUCCAGGCACAUUGCUGGGGCUUGAGCACUUCUGCCUGCCUCUGUCAUCUCCUGCUUGAUGCAGAAGAUGCUGGGCUGAAAUGGCUGCUGGAGCCCUACAUAUGGAUGGACCCCACAGAACCACACAACUUUGCAGGGGAUCACACUGGACUCCUGGCGCUUACCCAGUUUUUCCUCAUGUGGUGUGGGUCUGUGGAAGCAAUGAAAACAGAGGAUCUGACCUGGAUAGAUAAUAUGGGAAAGUCAUGGACAGGUGCUGGAAAUGACAGUUACGCCAAGAUUAGAUGAUCGUGAAAAUCCUUUUGCUUCUGAUUAAAUUCAAAUAAAACUGGUGGCAUAAAAGAUUCUCA
rnacentral:lncRNA from 1 species